GAUGAACGCUGGCGGCGUGCCUAAUACAUGCAAGUCGAGCGAACAGACGAGAAGCUUGCUCCUCUGACGUUAGCGGCGGGCGGGUGAGUAACACGUAGAUAACCUUCCUAUAAGACUGGGAUAACUUCGGGAAACCGGAGCUAAUAACGGAUAAUAUAUUGAACCGCAUGGUUCAAUAGUGAAACACGGUUUUCCUGUUUCUUAUAGCUGGAUCCGCGUCGCAUUAGCUAGUUGGUAAGGUAACGGCUUACCAAGGCAACGAUGCGUAGCCGACCUGAGAGGGUGAUCGGCCACACUGGAACUGAGACACGGUCCAGACUCCUACGGGAGGCAGCAGUAGGGAAUCUUCCGCAAUGGGCGAAAGCCUGACGGAGCAACGCCGCGUGAGUGAUGAAGGUCUUCGGAUCGUAAAACUCUGUUAUUAGGGAAGAACAAAUGUGUAAGUAACUAUGCACGUCUUGACGGUACCUAAUCAGAAAGCCACGGCUAACUACGUG
rnacentral:rRNA from 1 species